GACAGAGGGUGCAAACGUUGUUCGGAAUUACUGGGCGUAAAGCGCGUGUAGGCGGCCCACUAAGUCUGAUGUGAAAGCCCGGGGCUCACCCCCGGAAGUGCAUUGGAAACUGGUGGACUCGAGUCCCGGAGAGGAGAGUGGAAUUCCUGGUGUAGCGGUGAAAUGCGUAGAUAUCAGGAGGAACACCGGUGGCGAAGGCGGCUCUCUGGACGGUGACUGACGCUGAGACGCGAAAGCGUGGGGAGCAAACAGG
rnacentral:rRNA from 1 species